CUACAUCGUAUUGGUCUUCGGUGUACAAUCAGUCCAGAGGAUAGAUGUUUCUCUUCACUAAGUUCACCGUCGAUAUAUAUAAAUGCGGUGUCUCGUUUCCCCCCUUUCAAAACUCUCUAUUUUCAACUGAUUGAACUCACGACUGUCCUAUACAUACAAAAAGGGUCUUAGGGUUCGUACGCGUAGCGCGGGAUUUCGAUAUCUAGAAGAAGUUAACAAGAUGAGUAUAUGGAACUAUGUGGUUACGGCUCACAAGCCAACGAACGCUACACAUUCCUGUGUUGGCAAUUUCACCGCUCCUCACGAGCUCAAUCUUAUCAUUGCGAAAUGUACUCGAAUCGAGAUUCAUUUACUCACUCCCCAAGGCUUACAGCCUAUGUUAGAUGUGCCAAUAUAUGGGAGAAUCGCGACACUCGAGCUUUUCCGUCCCCACGGUGAAACACAAGAUUUUCUCUUCAUUGCGACGGAGCGAUAUAAAUUCUGUGUCCUUCAAUGGGAUGCUGAGGCAUCUGAAGUUAUCACAAGAGCAAUGGGAGAUGUCUCAGAUCGAAUAGGCCGUCCCACCGAUAACGGUCAGAUUGGUAUAAUCGACCCAGACUGCAGAUUGAUCGGGUUGCAUCUUUAUGAUGGACUAUUUAAGGUUAUUCCAUUUGAUAACAAAGGCCAACUGAAGGAAGCCUUUAACAUCAGGCUUGAGGAGCUUCAAGUUUUGGAUAUUAAAUUCUUAUAUGGUUGCCCAAAGCCUACAAUUGUUGUUCUAUAUCAGGAUAACAAGGACGCCCGACAUGUCAAAACGUAUGAGGUGUCGUUGAAGGAUAAAGAUUUUAUUGAAGGGCCAUGGGCUCAAAAUAAUCUCGAUAAUGGAGCUUCUUUGCUAAUACCAGUACCUCCGCCACUGUGUGGUGUACUGAUUAUUGGAGAAGAAACCAUAGUUUACUGUAGCGCUUCAGCUUUUAAGGCUAUCCCAAUUAGACCUUCCAUCACAAGAGCAUAUGGGCGGGUUGAUGCUGAUGGUUCUCGAUAUUUGCUUGGGGAUCACAAUGGGCUUCUUCAGCUACUUGUAAUCACUCAUGAAAAGGAAAAAGUUACCGGACUCAAAAUUGAGCUACUGGGAGAAACUUCUAUUGCAUCAACCAUAUCAUACCUAGACAAUGCUUUUGUCUUCAUUGGGUCAAGCUAUGGAGAUUCACAGCUCGUAAAGCUCAAUCUCCAGCCCGAUGCCAAAGGUUCUUAUGUGGAAGUUCUAGAGAGAUAUGUCAAUUUGGGACCAAUUGUGGACUUCUGUGUUGUUGACCUGGAGAGGCAAGGUCAAGGUCAGGUCGUGACUUGCUCUGGAGCCUAUAAGGAUGGCUCACUUCGUAUUGUUCGAAAUGGAAUUGGAAUAAAUGAACAGGCGUCUGUGGAACUACAAGGGAUCAAAGGAAUGUGGUCUCUUAGAUCAGCUACUGAUGAUCCGUAUGACACAUUCUUGGUUGUUAGCUUCAUUAGCGAGACACGUGUUUUAGCUAUGAACCUUGAGGAUGAGCUGGAAGAAACUGAGAUAGAAGGCUUCAAUUCUCAAGUCCAGACCUUGUUUUGUCAUGAUGCGAUAUACAACCAGCUUGUACAGGUUACUUCUAACUCUGUAAGAUUGGUCAGCUCUAUCUCUAGAGAUCUGAAAAACGAAUGGUUUGCUCCAGCCGGCUACUCAGUCAAUGUUGCAACUGCUAAUGCCACUCAGGUACUGUUGGCAACUGGGGGUGGCCAUCUGGUCUACCUAGAAAUUGGUGAUGGGGUGCUAAAUGAAGUAAAAUAUGCCAAGUUGGAUUAUGAUAUCUCAUGCCUGGACAUAAAUCCAAUUGGUGAGAAUCCAAACUAUAGUCAAAUUGCAGCAGUUGGAAUGUGGACAGACAUAAGUGUCAGGAUAUAUUCACUUCCCGACUUGAAUCUCAUUACAAAGGAACAGCUAGGAGGGGAGAUAAUUCCUCGUUCAGUUCUUAUGUGUUCCUUCGAAGGGAUAUCUUAUCUACUAUGUGCUUUGGGAGAUGGUCAUCUCUUGAAUUAUGUAUUGAGCAUGAGUACUGGUGAGCUGACAGACAGGAAAAAAGUGUCUCUUGGAACCCAGCCCAUAACACUUCGUACAUUCUCAUCUAAAGAUGCUACGCACGUCUUUGCUGCCUCCGAUAGGCCCACAGUUAUUUACAGCAGUAACAAGAAGCUGCUUUAUAGCAAUGUAAAUCUAAAAGAAGUUAGUCACAUGUGCCCAUUCAAUGUUGCAGCUUUUCCAGACAGCCUCGCAAUUGCAAAAGAAGGAGAGUUAACAAUUGGCACUAUUGAUGAAAUUCAAAAGCUUCACAUCCGUUCAAUACCCCUCGGGGAGCAUGCACGGCGGAUCAGCCAUCAAGAGCAGACCAGGACAUUUGCUCUAUGCAGCGUCAAGUAUACUCAGUCGAAUGCAGAUGAUCCUGAAGUGCAUUUUGUCCGCCUGUUAGAUGAUCAGACAUUUGAGUUCAUAUCAACUUACCCCCUUGACCAAUUUGAAUAUGGUUGUUCCAUACUUAGCUGCUCCUUUUCUGAUGACAGUAAUGUGUAUUAUUGCGUUGGCACUGCUUAUGUGAUGCCAGAGGAAAAUGAACCUACCAAGGUAAGUUUCAUUGAUAAAAGUUUCUCUAAUUGUAAUUGUUGCUUAGAUCCUGUGAUUUGUGAUGAACUAUCGAUUUGUGUAGAUUUUGGGUUUUGAGCCAUAUUGUUUUCCUCAAAUUCAUCUGAUACAUACCUAUUGGUUGAACUUUAUCAUCUUUCCAUCACCAUGCCCACUUUUUCUGGCUCUUCUUUUUUGCAAAUUACGAUCUUGAUANAAUGUGGACACCAUGGUCAUAUAUUGGCUCUUUAUGUUCAAACACGUGGGGAUUUUAUUGUCGUUGGUGAUUUGAUGAAGUCCAUUUCUCUACUGAUUUUCAAGCACGAGGAGGGUGCUAUAGAGGAGCGAGCCCGGGACUAUAAUGCAAAUUGGAUGUCAGCUGUCGAGAUUCUCGACGAUGACAUUUAUCUUGGUUCGGAGAACAACUUUAACCUUUUCACGGUCAGGAAAAAUAGUGAGGGUGCUACAGAUGAAGAGCGCAGCCGUCUUGAAGUGGUUGGUGAAUACCACCUUGGUGAAUUUGUUAAUAGGUUUAGACACGGUUCACUUGUCAUGCGAUUGCCAGAUUCAGAUGUUGGCCAGAUACCUACCGUUAUAUUUGGCACAGUGAAUGGUGUUAUUGGGGUCAUUGCCUCGCUUCCUCAUGAUCAGUAUUUAUUUUUGGAAAAGCUGCAGACAAGCUUAAGGAAAGUGAUAAAGGGUGUAGGCGGACUGAGCCAUGAGCAGUGGAGGUCGUUUUACAAUGAGAAGAAAACUGUAGAAGCUAAAAACUUUCUUGACGGAGAUUUGAUUGAAUCAUUCCUAGAUCUUAGCAGGAGCCGGAUGGAAGAUAUUUCUAAAGCAAUGGCAGUUCCUGUUGAGGAACUAAUGAAGAGAGUGGAAGAGUUGACAAGGUUGCAUUAGUUAUUUUUUAAUGGUCUUCCUCUUCCCCAGCGUGUAAUAUUUCACAUUUCAACUUCUCUGCUAAGCGAACCAUAUUAUUGAGUUAUGGUUUUUUUAUGAGAUUUUCAUAAAACACUAUCUUUUAGUGGUAAUUAGCUAUCUAUAGAUACCAUUUGCUAUA